UUGGAGUGAAUGAUUGUGAACUGUUCUACUAACAAAAAUAAGAUUUUGUUUCGUACAAUUCUCUUUUUUUUACAAGACAAAAAGCUGCUAAUAAGUGAUUGAUCAAUAAAACAUCAAUAAUGUAAUCCAUGAUCACCACACGUUGUGAUUCACACCAUCUUAGAUUAAUAUUGUUGCUAAUUUAUGUGACAUAGUUAUAAUUGAUCAAGAAGUGUGGACAGAAAUGGAUAGCACUGUAUUACAUCUAGUCUCCCUUGCAUUUUCAAUCAAUUAAUUAUUUAAAAUGUGUUAAUUGUGGUUUUGUAGUAAGGCAGCAAGCCAUUGUUAACACAGUAAGCUCAGGCUGACAAGGAGAUAAUUAUGUAUUCUGUUUUGUUGGGGUUGAUAGACCCGACAGGCUAUAACAUGGUCAUAAAGUCAGAACAAAAACCUAGUUAUUCCGGCAUAUGGACAGCAUUUGAGUAAAAUCUUAGAAUGGCUCAAAGCCUGAAAUGUAUCCUGAAUUCAACUUUGUGUCAGAUUGGAGUAUUGCAUUGAUGUUAACAAGGAAUUUAUGUUUAUUUGUUAACAGCUAUCAGCAUGUCUAUGGGAUGUGGGAGGAAAUUGGAGCAGCCAAUGUAACCCAUUCAUUCAUGAUGUGAAUGUGAAAAUUCCACACCAACACCAUCUGAGGUCAAGUUCCGUCGAUCCAGCUCGCGGUUUAGACGUGGACGGUCGAUCCAGCUGGGGGCUUUCCAGGAGAAUGCGCUCUUCUGGACUCGCGGAUUAGGUUGCCCGAGUGGGACAGGCCCUUACGAAGAACAAAUUGUUAUGCCUCAAUGAUUUCCCAGCUGUGUUAACUUCUGCUUUAGUAAUGAUCUGGGCCCAGUUUAAUUCACCCGUCAUUACAACAGAUCGACAGCAGAUGCAAUCUCACUGGCUUUCCAAUCUGUGCUGGAUCACUUGGACAACAGGAACACAUGUGUCAGGCUGUUGUUCAGCAACUAGAGCUUGGCGUACAGCACCAUCAACCCUUCCGAACUCAUUGUCAACUCAACGAAUUGGAUCCCUUAUCCUUAUGCAACUGGACCUCGACUUCCUCAUCAACAGGCUUUCAAUUAAUAUGAAUUGGUAACAACAAUCUCCUCGCUGACCAUCAGUAAAGAGCAUCUCAUGAUUGUGCUCAGGCCCUGGUCUACUCUCUAUAUCCAUGGCUGUGUGUCCAGACAUGGCUCCAAUGCUAUCUUUAUAUUUGUCAAUGAUACCACCCACGUUGGAUGAAGAAUGGCUAAUCAAAAAGGCACAACAGAAGAUGUACUUCCUGCGGCAGCUGAGGAAGCACAAUCUGCCACAGGCAAUGAUGGUCCAAUUCUAUAUGGCCAUGGUAGAGUCUGUUCUCACCUUUUCCAUCAUGGCCUGGUUUGGCUCAGCCACCAAGCACGACACCUGGAGGCUGCAGCGAAUCGUCCAAUCAGCUGAGAAGGUUGUUGGCUGCAACCUUCCCUCCAUUGACGAACUGUACAUUGCAAAGGCCAGGAAGCGAGCAGCAGGUAAGAUCCUCCUUCACCCCUCUCACACUGGCCACAAACGCAUUGAAUCACUUCCCUCUGGAAGGCGACUCCGGACUGUCAAAGCUGCCACAGCCAGACAUAAAAACAGCUUUUUUUCCACGAGUAGUAGCUCUACUCAAUAACCAAAAAUCUGUAGCCUCCUUUUGCUCUGGUAUUUUAUGUUUAAUCAAUAAUGUUUUAUUAUUAAUGUUUAAUGUUUAUGUGUCAUUCCUAACUGUCACUGUAUGUCAUGUUGUCACUUGCAGGCGGAGCUUCAAGGCAGAUUCCUUGUAUGUGAAUAAUUGGCCAAUAAUCUUAUUCAUUAAUCCAUCCAUUCAUUCAUUCAAUCAUUCAUUCAUUCAUUCAAAAUGAUGAGUCGGAGCACAGAAUGGAAGUUGAUAAUCUGUUUGUGGCACAAGAACAAAAAUCUUGGCCUCAAUGUUAGCAAGCCAAUGGCUGAUUGUUGAUUUCAGGAAAGCAAAUGCAAUAGAUCAUGCUCCUGUCUUCAUUGGCUGACAACAGUGAAAAGAGUCAACAGUCAAUGGCAAGUUUCUGGACAUGGACAUCUCUGAUGAUCAGUCCUGGGUCCAGCACAUUGUUCCAAUUACAAAGAAAGCUCACCAACACCUCUACUUCCUCAGAAGUUUGAGGAGUGUGUUCGUCUCACUGAAUACUCUAUUGAAAUUUGACAUAUAUACAUUAGAGAGCAUAUUGAAUGGAUGCAUCAUGGCCAACUUCGUUUUUUUGACACUCGGGAACAAAGGAGGCUCCAUCAUGGUAUUGACCUCCCCACCAUUAAAAGGAUCUGCAAGAAGCGAUCUCAAGAAGACAGUGAAUAUCAUCAAAGAUUCACACCACUCUGGCCAUGCUCUUAUCUCGCUGAUAUCAUUUAGAAGGUGUUACAGGAACCUGAGAACUGUUACUUCCAGAUUAAAGAACAGCUUUUUCCCAUCAACCAUCAAGCUCUUGAAUCACCCUGCAUGUACAUUUAUUUGUUGUACUUUUAGCAUCUAAUGUCCAGUACCUGCAGCAAGUAAUAAUUCCUUUGAUUGAAUCCUGGUGCAUAUUACAGUAAAACACGCCUCUUGAAACUUAAUUAUUUCCCUCUAACGUAUUCAUUUAACUGGUUUAAAUCAUAGCUGUGUUGUAACUGUGUGCACUAAUUUUCAAUUUCACUUCUGAGUGUGGGUUGGUCAAAAGUACUUUAGUGAGGUCAAUCCAAAUACCUCAAAAAUAGAUCUGGAAUUAAUCUCAUCAAUUUUCAGUGCAGAAAAUUGAAAUGAGGCCUCCGCAUGCUAUGGAGGGCCUCGUGUGGGUAUUAUUGGACAAGUUAGUUGUUAUUAGAUAAGGGUAUAACGCAGAUUUGUAUGCUAAAUGCAACGCACGCAUCAUUUCAGAUUUCACAAUGUGGCCUUAUAGAGCUCUGCACAGGACACAUGGACAUUCCAUUAGAUUUGUUUGAAUAAUUUGAUUCUUGAUUCUUGAAGGCUAUUCAUUGGCCAGAUAUGGAAAAGGCUGUCAGUGCAGGACAUUGGGAUAUAAUGCUUGAGGCCUACUUACCAGUUGGAGUCUCCUCCAGUUUACAGGACACAGGGACAUGAUCAGUUGUCCACAUCCAGAAAAAGCAUAUUAGCAUAUUAGGGUUAAUAUGCACAUAAGCAUGAUUAGGGAUUGCUGGCGAUGUGGAUGGUUGAUCGGAUGUGGAAUGAUCCGUUGGGGAAAGAAUACAUGACUAAAUAGGAUCUGAAUCAUUUUCAAGGAAACCUGAAUUAAUUUUCUCUGGCCUCUAACCCAAUUCAUCUAUAGCUCACCCCUGAGUUUGACAUGCCAUGUAUAAUGGGAGAUUAUUUAGAUUAUUUUAAAUGUCAACUACACGUUGUUAGAUAAUCCAAUAAAUAAAAUGCUGGAAACUUGUCCAAUAUAUUAGUAUCCUUUUAAGUGUAAAAAAAGAAACUCAGAAUGAUGAAUUUUAUAUUCCAAUGUUGCCUGAGGAUUUAUAGGCAAAAGGAAUAUGAAUCAAAAAACUGGCACUAUUUCCAACCCUUGUGGCCUUUCUGUUGAACUUCUCACUGAGAGCAGAGGGACCUCUAUUUAACUUACUAUUUCAAAGAUGGACUCUGGGGCUUUCAGUUUGCCUAGUUUAAUUUGAAUGGUUUAUGUAUUGGCUGUGCAAAUCUGUAUGCUUUUUCUCAAAGUACGAUUGAAGACUAAGGGAUAAUAAUUAACCGACAUUACAACUUAUCCUAAUUAAUACGUCAUUUGUACAAUAGAGUAAAUGUGGUGGUGUGACAAAUUAAUAUUCAUGCCAUUGCUACACAAUGUGCCUACAUUAUGAAAAUGCACUGCUGAAUUGGAUCAUCUUCACCUGGAGCUUACUUUGCCUGGAAGAUGAGGUCUCAGGGGCCCAAACUUCAAAUACAGAAUGAUCUGGAACUUAAUUUCUCCCUGAUAGGUGACAAUUUCCUAUUAAGAGUUGCAGACGUGGGAGUUUCGAUCACCCCGACGGGGGCUUCGAUUGUCAGCUGUGGGGGCUUUGACUGCCCCGACCGUGGGUGAACAAAGAGGAAGAGAUUGGACUUUAUUGCCUUCCAUCAAAGUGAGGAAUGUGGAAUCCAUUGUGGUGGAUGUUUAUGUUAACUUUCAUGUGGGUUGUGUGUCUUGUUGCUUUUCAUUUAGUAUAGCUGUAUAUUGAUCAAAGUUCACUGUAUCUUAACUGGUAGAGGUGACAAUAAAAUGACCUUGAAACCUUGAUGAAUAAUUUGGUGAAUCUCUGCAUCUACACUGUAAUGGAACAUAGAACACUAUCGCAGAGGAGCAGGCCCUUUGGCCCACUGUGUCUGUGCCAAACAUGAUAGCCUAUUUAAACUAUUCCCCUUCUGCUUGCACGAGCUAUAUGUGCCUUCAUUUUGUAUAUAUUUAAUAGCCCCUAAAAUACCACAGUAGGAUCUGCUUCCACCACCCCUCUUGACAGUGCAUUACAAGACCUAUCAUUCUCUGUAAAAAAAAAAAACAUAUCCCGCACAUCUCCUUCGAACUUUCUCACUUUGAACAUAGCGAUGCCC